rnacentral:rRNA from 1 species
UACGUAGGGUGCGAGCGUUGUCCGGAAUUAUUGGGCGUAAAGAGCUUGUAGGCGGUUUGUCGCGUCUGCUGUGAAAAUCCGGGGCUUAACUCCGGGCCUGCAGUGGGUACGGGCAGACUAGAGUGCGGUAGGGGAGACUGGAAUUCCUGGUGUAGCGGUGAAAUGCGCAGAUAUCAGGAGGAACACCGGUGGCGAAGGCGGGUCUCUGGGCCGUAACUGACGCUGAGGAGCGAAAGCGUGGGGAGCGAACAGG